rnacentral:rRNA from 1 species
UUAGGAAUUUUGCGCAAUGGGCGAAAGCCUGACCGAGCCAUGCCGCGUGAGUGACGAAGGCCUUAGGGUCGUAAAGCUCUUUCGCCAGGGAUGAUAAUGACAGUACCUGGUAAAGAAACCCCGGCUAACUCCGUGCCAGCAGCCGCGGUAAUACGGAGGAGGUUAGCGUUGUUCGGAAUUACUGGGCGUAAAGCGCACGUAGGCGGACUAUUAAGUCAGGGGUGAAAUCCCGGGGCUCAACCCCGGAACUGCCCUUGAUACUGGUAGUCUUGAGUUCGAGAGAGGUGAGUGGAAUUCCGGGUGUAGAGGUGAAAUUCGUAGAUAUUCGGAGGAACACCAGUGGCGAAGGCGGCUCACUGGCUCGAUACUGACGCUGAGGUGCGAAAGCGUGGGGAGCAAACAGGAUUAGAUACCCGGGUAGUCC